rnacentral:rRNA from 1 species
CAGCCGCCGCGGUAAUACGAAGGGGGCUAGCGUUGUUCGGAUUUACUGGGCGUAAAGGGCGCGUAGGCGGGCGAAUAAGUCAGGGGUGAAAUCCCAAGGCUCAACCUUGGAACUGCCUUCGAUACUGUUUGUCUUGAGUUCGAGAGAGGUAAGUGGAACUGCGAGUGUAGAGGUGAAAUUCGUAGAUAUUCGCAAGAACACCAGUGGCGAAGGCGGCUUACUGGCUCGAAACUGACGCUGAGGCGCGAAGGCGUGGGGAGCAAACAGGAUUAGAUACCCCUGUAGUCCCUGUCUCUUAUAA